rnacentral:rRNA from 5 species
AACUUUCAACAACGGAUCUCUUGGCUCUCGCAUCGAUGAAGAACGCAGCGAAAUGCGAUAAGUAAUGUGAAUUGCAGAAUUCAGUGAAUCAUCGAAUCUUUGAACGCA